rnacentral:rRNA from 1 species
CACGGGGGGAGCAAGCGUUGUUCGGAUUCAUUGGGCGUAAAGCGCUCGUAGGUGGCUUUGUAAGUCGGAGGUGAAAGACCACGGCUCAACCGUGGAAACGCCUUCGAAACUGUGGAGCUUGAGGCUGGGAGAGGAGAUCGGAAUUCCUGGUGUAGCGGUGAAAUGCGUAGAUAUCAGGAGGAACACCGGUGGCGAAGGCGGAUCUCUGGACCAGUUCUGACACUGAUGAGCGAAAGCUAGGGGAGCAAACAGG